AUUCCCAGAAGUGUAGAAGAACCUGAAGCAGGUCGACUGAUCCUAGGUCAGUUCUCUAGGGUUAGAGUUAGUAAGCACUACAGUGCUGUCCUGUCAGGUCGACUGAUCCUAGGUCAGUUCUCUAGGGUCAGAGAUAGUGUGACAUUGUCCCCUGAUCGCUCAAUGUUCUGCUUGUUGAUUGGCCAGUCGCAGUUCUGCUUGUUGAUUGGCCAGUCACAGUCCUGCUUGUUGAUUGGCCAGUCACAGGUCUGCUUGUUGAUUGGCCAGUCACAGUUCUGCUUGUUGAUUAGCCAGUUAGACAGUUCUGCUUGUUGAUUGGCCAGUCACAGUCCUGCUUGUUGAUUGGCCAGUCACAGACAGGUCUGCUUGUUGAUUGGCCACAGUUAGACAGGUCUGCUUGUUGAUUGGCCACAGUUAGACAGUUCUGCUUGUUGAUUGGCCAGUUAAGACAGUUUUGACAGUUAACUCUGCUGUGAAUUGUCCUGUCGGUCUGUUGGUUCUGACUCUCUCCAGAUAUCUGGUCUUGAGCCUUGACAACCUGUGGAGAAGACAAGGGGCCACAUGUUAGAGAUGGGCAGGAAUAGCCUGUAUUUACUAUAGGACUGUAGGUUAAAGUAUGUGUUACUAUAUUUACUAUAGGACUGUAGGUUAAAGUAUGUGUUACUAUAUUUACUAUAGGACUGUAGGUUAAAGUAUGUGUUACUAUAGGACUGUAGGUUAAAGUAUGUGUUACUAUAGGACUGUAGGUUAAAGUAUGUGUUACUAUAUUUACUAUAGGACUGUAGGUUAAAGUAUGUGUUACUAUAUUUACUAUAGGACUGUAGGUUAAAGUAUGUGUUACUAUAUUUACUAUAGGACUGUAGGUUAAAGUAUGUGUUACUAUAUUUACUAUAGGACUGUAGGUUAAAGUAUGUGUUAAUAUAUUUACUAUAGGACUGUAGGUUAAAGUAUGUGUUACUGUAUUUACUAUAGGACUGUAGGUUAAAGUAUGUGUUACUAUAUUUACUAUAGGACUGUAGGUUAAAGUAUGUGUUACUAUAUUUACUAUAGGACUGUAGGUUAAAGUAUGUGUUAAUAUAUUUACUAUAGGACUGUAGGUUAAAGUAUGUGUUACUGUAUAUACUAUAGGACUGUAGGUUAAAGUAUGUGUUACUAUAGGACUGUAGGUUAAAGUAUGUGUUACUGUAUUUACUAUAGGACUGUAGGUUAAAGUAUGUGUUACUGUAUUUACUAUAGGACUGUAGGUUAAAGUAUGUGUUACUAUAGGACUGUAGGUUAAAGUAUGUGUUACUGUAUAUACUAUAGGACUGUAGGUUAAAGUAUGUGUUACUGUAUAUACUAUAGGACUGUGGGUUAAAGUAUGUGUUACUGUAUAUACUAUAGGACUGUAGGUCCUACAACAUAGAGGAUAGUCAGGGAUGUUACAAGGUUGAGAUGAGGGCCCAACCCAAUUCAAACCAAAUCCCGGCAUCAUCCCUAU